ensembl:misc_RNA Metazoa_SRP Metazoan signal recognition particle RNA
GCCGGGUGCAGUGGCACGUACCUGUAGUCCCAGCUACUUGGGAGGCUGAGGUGGGAGGAUCGCUUGAGCCCAGGAGUUCUGGGCUGUAGUGCGCUAUGCUGAUUGGAUGUCCACACUAAGUUCAGCAUCAAUAUGGUGACCUCUCGGAAGUGGGGACCACCAGGUUGCCUAAGGAGGGGUGCACCGGCUCAGGCUGGAAACAGAUCAGAUCAAAACUCCCAUGCUGAUCAGUAAUGGGAUCACACCUGUGAAUAGCCACUGCACUCCAGCCUGGGCAACACAAUGAGACCCUGUCUCUU